ACCCUGAAACACCCCUGCCACAAUAUAGCACUUUCAAUUUUCUCCCCUUGUCUAAGUCAUCCUAAUGAAAAGAAUAAUCUAUUACACUUCCCUUCAAGUCAUAGUGCCAAUGCCCAAAGCAAGAUAAGGAGGAUACAGGAGGAUACAGAUUUGAAAAUAAUUUUUAUAUCUCAAUCCCCCUUCAUGACAUCACUAUCCAACUCUCCCAGGACUUUCUUUGAGCUAUAGCUAGAAGACAGACUACCCACAGCCUUGCCUCAAAGACAAUUUCCAGCACUUUAAUGUGAUUUUUCUUAUUAUAAUUCUGUUUCCACUACAUCUGGGAAUGGAGUGUGUUCAGUUCACUGUCUGAAGGACACAGAGUUCCUUCUGGUUACUCAUCAACUGUUUCUGUCACAUCUCAGUGUUGGGAUCACAAAGAUGUAAGCACUCAGCCAUUUCCCCACACCCCAUGAGAUCUUGGCAUCAUCUGUAUAUUCCCUUGAAUCCUUUGACCUGCCUACUUUUAUUUCUACUAGACUACCUCUGAUCAUUUGCCCUUUCAAUGUAUUCCCCCUCUGAAUUCC
rnacentral:lncRNA from 1 species